rnacentral:misc_RNA from 1 species
GGCCCUCAAAACAAUUAUACAAUUUCUUUUUUUUUUUUGUAAAAAUUUAUCCCCAUUAAUCUCAAAUCCUGGCUUCACCCUGCAUAUAAUACAUUCUCCACCACACCAAUAACGGCCAUGAUAACGUGGGGAAAAGUUCUUUAAAUAAAGGAGAACAAACGAUCCAUACAUGAGAAAAAUUCCAGACUCCUAAACACAGGCCAUCUCUACCUGGUAAUAUUUUGUACAGUCACGAUCACAAAUCCACUACCUCCUCCCUUUUUACACCCUUAAAACUUGUACAGUAAAUUUUAUCUCCUCUUGCGAGGGCAUCAGUAUGUUCACCAUCUGAGCCUCGGCUAGCCUGAUCUAGGUAUAUCUUCAAACAAUGUACAGUUUUAAGUACAACUGACAAUUUUAUUUUCGUUAAGCUCCCAUCUAUCCAAAUAAAUAGACAGAGCCAUUACUAGAUAUGAAAAGAAAGAAGAAAGCGAGAGGCGCUCAUACUAUCCUCAGUUAGCUGUACAACUUCUCCUAUGCCAUCUAAGCAGCAGGAUUCAGGGUAAGAACACUAAUCCUCCUCUCUCCAGCUGCAACAAGUUUCUCUACACGCGCAACUAUAUGCUUCCCGUAAGUAUACUUCUUCAGAGCAUUUAAGUGAACCUUUAUUCGAUUAAGGAUUAGUUCAAGUUGCUGGUCAUCACAAGUUUCCAGCACUUUCUGUACAACGUAAUUAGCGAACUGAUCUUUCAUCAUGACCUGAAGAGGCUCAUUUUCAUCAGUGGUACCAAGCAUCUCAUUCACCAGGGCCUGGCAUUCUGCAGGAGUACCAAACGUUAAACACUUCUCUAUAACAUUGGAGGCAAACUUCUGCUGGCUCAUUUGAACUAUCUGCCCAGUUAAUUUCUUUAUUAUUGCUGAACGUUCGUGAGGUUUCCCAUGCUCUAGCACAUGCUGUACAACAUAAUUUCCAUACUGGUCUUGUGCCAACAUGCAAACAGAUUGCAAAAUCUCAUGCAUCAUUAUAUGCUGGGUUUUUGUAUUAUGGCAGUGCUCCAGGACUCUCUGUAUGACUCGACAACCAUAUGGAUGAGUGGACAGUGUCACGACUUGAUCAUAAAAUGUUGAAACAAUAAACUGUAUAGCAUCUUCAGGUACACAUUCAAUACACUUCUGGAUGACAUGGUUCCCAUUCUGAUCUCGUACACACCGCAUAAUAUGACCGUCAAGCUCUGUCACCAUUUUUGUCUGCUGGUCCAGCUCAACCACUUCUAUAGCCUGGUUAUCAAGAACAAAGCGUUUUAAAUACAAAAUCUUAGGGACAUGCCCAGUUAGUUGGUCAGCCAGUUCUCUUAUUUGGGAUGCAGAUCCAUGCUCAAAAAACUUGGUUAUCAAGAACAAAGCGUUUUAAAUACAAAAUCUUAGGAUUUAAUUUGAAAUCAAAUAUAUCAUUCUACAUUUAAAAAAUGCCAAACACUUUCAGAACCAAAUCAAGAACUUGGGCAGGGGCGAAACUAGAAAAGCUCUUUCAUUAAUGACAGAUGUUUUCGGUAUAAUUUCAUUGAAAACCAUGUUUUUCUCUUCUGUUGUAGCAGUUUCAAGUUUCUGUUGAAUGAAUCGACUUCCGUACUGAUCGGCACUGAACUCAACAACAUGACCUGUAAUUUCCGAGAGCUCAAAACAUUUAGUUUUACUGCUUUUGAACUCAUCUAGCAAUGAGGAAGGAAAACUUUCAUCCAGGUUACCACCAGAUUCUGAGUGCCAAGAUCCCAUAACACCCCCUGACAGAUUCCUCAUUCCAGUAGUAAAACGCAUGUUUCGUUCACUGUGCCUAACAGGACUGCCAGAUCCAAUAGGAGAAUUUGGAAGAAGGGGACCCCCUAUUGGGCUCCCAGAAUAGGACAUGCCAAGACCAAAUGCUGGAUUACCAUAGUAAUUCUGAUUCAAGCUGCCAGAUUUACCAAGAUAGGGAACACCGUACGGUGAUUUUUGAGGUGAAAGCAAUGUUCCUAAGUAAGCUUUUUGGAGCAGAUCCAGGUAUGAAUUACCAAGGUACUCCCUGUCUAUACAAGGUUCAUUAAGUGCCCCAAGCUGUGCAGCAGCAUACUCAUUUGAUCUCAGGUACUGAAGAUAUAAUGGAUCCAUUAAGGGCAUCUGCAGAGCAUUACCUGCGCUCCGAUUUCCAACUCUACUAAGAUUCUGUAAUUCUGCUGUUGUAGCCAUAAAGUUUGGCCCUAAAGCGCUCAGCGCUCUAGAAUCCAAUCCAGUUCCUCCCACUGCAGAUGCAGCAGCAACAUUUUCAAAUAAAGGUAGCAAGCUCCCACUGCCAAGGUGGCUUCCCAUCAUGGAUGGUGAUGAAGGAUUCACAGAAUACCCACUCAAGCCAUAGCUUGAAAAUGGAGAAUUCAUGUUAUCGGCGCUCUGGAGGUCAGAAGGAGAGCCUCCUCGGCCAUUGAAAGCUGGUGUUGAAGGGCCUUUUAAGGAGUUAGCAUAUGAAUUAGACUUAUUCAAAAAAGACUGUUGCUUUACAUGGUUCUGGUCGCCAUGCAAAUUGUAGAGAUCAUGGUGAUCAUCAAUGUUAUGUUCGCUUUGUGACCGUGAGUGAUUCUCUACAUCAACAGGUGAUAGAUUCAACCCAGACAAAGCAGCCACGAACUCAGCAGACUCAUCCAAACUUGAUGAGACACCUUUAAAUGAGUUUGGCCCACUCACUUCUCUUUUAUCCAUAGAAUUGACCCUACCCCCUCCAAUGGGUGGAAUGCGAGGACUAGGAGCUCUAGCUACAAGUUGAGGAUCAGGUGUAGAGCUUCGUGACAAGGAAGCACCUAAAGCAGAAGCAUAGCUAUGAUGAGCUGUUGCACCAACAUUUGGGACCACAGGAAUCCCCUGUUUAUUUGAAACAGAUCGCAAAGCUUCAGCAGAUGCUAAAUCAUGAAGCUGAGCAAAUUGGGAUUCAGAAGUUUCUACAUUAUCAUCAUAUGCAUUGCGACUAGCUGGACGUGAGGGAUGCCUUGAGAUGGGAUAUGCAUGAUCCAUAUCAUCCUGAAUGAUUUCUGCAAUGCUCUUUUGCCUGCUUCCUAGGCCCAAACCCGGCAACCCAAUCAGUCCAUCUCCUCCCCACUCCACUCCUCCACCAGUCCCAUUCCCAUUCUCCUCCGUCUUUUCUCCAAAACCUGGCUGCACUGCGAAAAGAGAC